rnacentral:rRNA from 1 species
UACAGAGACUGCAAGCGUUGUUCGGAAUUACUGGGCGUAAAGGGCGCGUAGGCGGCACGGCAAGUCGGGAGUGAAAGCCCCGGGGGCUCAACCCCCGGAACGUCUUUCGAAACUGCCGAGCUAGAGUGCGGAAGGGGCAACUGGAAUUCCCGGUGUAGCGGUGAAAUGCGCAGAUAUCGGGAAGAACACCCGUGGCGAAGGCGGCUCUCUGGGACGGUACUGACGCUGAGACGCGAAAGCGUGGGGGAGCGAACAGG